UUUCCGUAGGUGAACCUGCGGAAGGAUCAUUAACGAGUUAGGGUCUUCCAGGCCCGACCUCCCAACCCUAUGUUUAUUGAACCUCUGUUGCUUCGGCGGACCCGUCUCACGACCGCCGGAGGACCGCCGCGAGGCGUCCUCUGGCCAGCGUCCGCCGAUGGCCAACCACUUAACUCUGAAUGAAUCGUGUCAUUAUGUCUAAGUCUAUGAUUAAAUUAAAGCAAAACUUUCAACAACGGAUCUCUUGGUUCUG
rnacentral:misc_RNA from 1 species